rnacentral:rRNA from 1 species
GACGAACGCUGGCGGCGUGCUUAACACAUGCAAGUCGAACGGAAAGGCGCUGCGCUUGCGGGGUGCUCGAGUGGCGAACGGGUGUGUAACACGUGAGUAACAUGCCCCUGUCAUUGUGAUAACUUCAGGAAACUCGGGCGAAUACCGGAUAUGAGCUACUGCAGCGUGGGGGUGGUUGGAAAGUGUCGGCGGUUGUGGCUGGUAUCGCGGGUUAGCAGCUUGUUGGUGAGGUAAUGGCUUACCAAGGUGUUGACGGGUAGCCCACCUGAGAGGGUGAUGGGCGACACGGGAAGUGAGACACGGACCUGAGUACUAAGGGAGGGAGCAGUCGGGAAUCUGAGGCAAUGGGGGAAAGCCUGACGGAACGACGGGGAGCGAGUGACGAAGGUCUUGGGAUCGUAAAGCUCUGUUAUGAGUGAAGAACAAAUGUGUAAGUAACUAUGCACGUAUUGACGGUACCUGAUAAGAAAGCACCGGCUAACUACGUG